rnacentral:rRNA from 1 species
UAAUACCAGCUCUCCGAGUGGUGGGGACGCUUAUUGGGCCUAAAGCAUCCGUAGCCGGCUGGGUAAGUCCUCCGUUAAAUCCGACGAUUCAAUCGUUGGGCUGCGGGGGAUACUGUCCUGCUAGGGGGCGGGAGAGGUCGACGGUAUUCUCGGGGUAGGGGUGUAAUCCUAUAAUCCCGGGAAGACCAACAGUGGCGAAGGCUGUCGGCUAGAACGCGCCCGACGGUGAGGGAUGAAAGCUGGGGGAGCGAACCGGAUUAGAUACCCGGGUAGUCCCAGCCGUAAACUAUGCAGGCUAGGCGUUAGAAUGACCUUGAGUCAUUUUAGUGCCGCAGGGAAGCCAUUAAGCCUGCCGCCUGGGAAGUACGGUCGCAAGGCUG